GCCGUCGUCGACCAGUGGCAGGUCACCUCCACCGUUUGAUGAAUGUUUGUCCGUAAACGGGAGGAGCCGGGGGUUCGACUCCCCCCGACGGCA